GGGGGGGGGGGGGGGGGGGGGGGGGGGGGGGGGGUGGGGGGGGGGGAGGGGGAGGGGGCGGCUCUGGGGUUAGGGGGGGACGGGUGCGUAACGCGUAGGUCGCCUGCCUGUACGGGUGGGAUGGCUUCGGGAGACCGGGGCUGAUACCGGGUAGUAUAUUUGACCGAGUGGUUCGAGAGUGCACGCCGGGUUGACUGUCACUUAGAGAUGGGUCCGCGUCUCCUUAGCUAGUCGGUACUGUAACGGCUUACGAAGGCAACUAUUAGUAUCAGACCUGAGAGGUGGAUCGCACAAACUGGAACUGAGACACGGUCCAGACUCCUACGGGAGGCAGCAGUAGGGAAUCUUCCGCAAUGGGCGAAAGCCUGACGGAGCAACGCCGCGUGAGUGAUGAAGGUCGUCGGAUCGUAAAACUCUGUUAUUAGGGAAGAAAAAAUGUGUAAGUAACUAUGCACGUCUUGACGGUACCUAAUCAGACAGCCACGGCUAACUACGUG
rnacentral:rRNA from 1 species